UGUUGCUACAUGAACCCUCUGUGAUGUCUGGGUAGCAGUCUACUGCCUGCCUGUUAUGUAGUUUGGCUCAUUCCAAGGUUCCCUGUCUGGAGUGGUGUGAUGUAGUGUUCCUCACAGAGCACCCUGUGUUAAGGUGGUCAGCUGCUGUCUUGCCUCUGUAAAAUUAGGAUUUUAACAAUUGCUGCUGGUACACUCUGGCUGUAGUGCCUCCAACCAGCACUCCCCUGCUAUGAGGCAUUGCGGUAAUGGCGCCAGGGAUGAGAUGAUCACCAGCAGGCUCAAGUCCCUGUUCUUGGGCCUUUGAAGGCCCAUGGUCACUCCAGAGAGGACAAGUACACUUGAAGCACCAGUGUUGUGUUCCAUAAUACUUCUACAGCGAGAGAAGACAUGCUGCCAUGACAAAUCCCAAAGAUCAAAUUAUAGGACCUGUCAAAACAUUUCUCCUUAACUCGGCAAGCAAAUAAACAUUCUUUGGAUGUUUAUUUAACCACUUCCUUACUAUAUUUAAAUUCUCAAGCGCUCUGGCUGUGGAUUGUUCCUAAUGUAAUGUUGUUUAGCAACGCUAGCUAACUUACUACUGAAUGUAAUGUUAAUAUAACCCUGUUUUGCUUUUUAAUUGUUCUAGUGAAUAGAGACCUACCCAGCUGUAAAGGAACAGUAUUGAUCCUUAAAAUUAAUCUGUAGUCUUUUGUCUUUAUAUUUCACGUCAGUGAA